rnacentral:lncRNA from 1 species
GGGGUUGCGGAAUGGUAAGACCCUCCACCGGAUGAGGACCUCUAGCUUUGAGGAAUCAGAGGAUUGGAGCGGCCAUAGGGACACUAAGAAGGGCAGCGGUUGUCUGCGUUGAGACCCGUGCGGCGAGUAGCUCGGAGAAUCUAGGCGCAGCCGUCGCCGCUGCAGAGGCCCCAGGCGCGGAUCUGCAGGGCAGUGAGUGUCCCCAUGUGACCCGCGCGCUGCUGGGACCUAAGGGCACGUAUGGGAGCUGCCGCCUCCGCCGAGGGCUCGAGUCUGCAAGGCAUGCGCGACGCUGACACCUUGGCUGUGCAUCCACGAGGGGCUGGAACUCAAGAAGAAGCACCGCUCUUUUUUUUUUUUUUUUAAUUCUUUUUUUCGGAGCUGGGGACCGAACCCAGGGCCUUGCGUUGAAGCACCGCUCUUGUAGCCCUCCUGAGAGGCGAACUGGAGGUGGCCAGUCUUUGUCUGCACAACAGGAUGCGGAACCAUCGCUCAGCAUCGUCCCCUCCGCAUUCGGAGCGGACGGAACGAUCCCUGCUUUGCACCCCAGCCACUGGAAAACAGGAACGCCUCACCGAGGAGGAAGGGAAGCGCCAAGGUCACCGUGAGUUUUAGGUCAAACCAAGAAACGAAGGAUAUCAAGUAUAAGGGCUGUGGUCUCCGGCAGGUGGAGUGGGAGGGCGGGCUCCGAGUUUAGCGCACUGUAUUACAGUGGCUUCGGGAGAAAUAACUUUCGUUUUGUGUCGUAACCUUAAAAAUCCAGACAUGAAACGGAAGGGAAACAGGUAAUGAAAAUCACAUGUACUCCUGAGAGCUGCGGGACACCUGUUAAUUUUAAUUUGUUAUACUUCUAGGGAGUGCUGGAGGGAGGUGGGGAACCAGGCAUUUUUUUCCAACGCUCGGGAGGCUGGAGGGUUUCUGGAGUUCAGGCCAGCUUGGUCUACACAGUGAGUUCCAGACUAGUUCUCUCCCACCCAUCCACCCAGAAAAUAAAAGCAUGGCUGGUUUCUUGAUUCUUUAUGUGACAGAGAACUUUUCAUUACACCAGUACAAUGAACACGAACAAAUACACUCUCUCCCUGGCACGUGUUUGGAGUUCAUGGUCCAAAUUGGAAAGCAGCCCAUUUUGAAGACUCACUUCUCACCAGAUAAGCAAAAUAAACAAGGUCAUCCAUC